ACGGCUGAGGAUCACGUGGGAACAUGCCUCCUUGUGGGGGACAACAGCGCGAAAGCGCUGCUAAUCCCGCAUACGCUCGCGAGAGGAAAGCUGGUAACAGCGCAGGGAGAGUGGCCCGCGGCCCAUCAGGUGGUUGGUGGGGUAACGGCCUACCAAGCCGAUGACGGGUAGCUGGUCUGUGAGGACAGACAGCCAGACUGGGACUGAGACACGGCCCAGACUCCUACGGGAGGCAGCAGCAAGGAAUUUUCGUCAAUGGGCGCAAGCCUGAACGAGCAACGCCGCGUGGAGGAUGACGGCCUUCGGGUUGUAAACUCCUUUUGGGGGGGACGAUGAUGACGGUACCCCUUGAAUAAGGCUCGGCUAACUCUGUGCCAGCAGCCGCGGUAAUACAGAGGAGCCAAGCGUUGUCCGGAUUGACUGGGCGUAAAGCGCACGCAGGCGGCGGCGCGCGUGGGGUGUGAAAUCUGGCCGCUUAACGGCCAGGCGCCAUCCCAUACGGCGCGGCUGGAGGGCUGCAGAGGUCGAUGGAAUUGCCGGUGUAGUGGUGAAAUGCGUAGA
rnacentral:rRNA from 1 species